AUUGAACGCUGGCGGCAGGCCUAACACAUGCAAGUCGAACGAGUGGCGGACGGGUGAGUAAUGUCUGGGAAUCUGCCUGAUGGCGGGGGAUAACUACUGGAAACGGUAGCUAAUACCGUAUACCAUCAGAUGCGCCCAGAUGGGAUUAGCUAGUUUGGGGGGUAACGGCUCACCAAGGCGACGAUCCCUAGUUGGUCUGAGAGGAUGACCACGCAACCUGUGACUGGGACACGGUCCAGACUCAUAAGGGAGGCAGCAGUGGGGAAUAUUGCACAAGGGGCGCAAGCCUGAUGCAGCCAUGCGCCGUGUAUGAAGAAGGCCUUCGGGUUGUAAAGUACUUUCAGCGGGGAGGCGUUACCCACAGAAUAAGCACCGGCUAACUCCGUGCCAGCCGCCGCGGUAAUUC
rnacentral:rRNA from 1 species